rnacentral:rRNA from 1 species
GAUGAACGCUGGCGGCGUGCCUAAUACAUGCAAGUCGAGCGAACAGACGAGGAGCUUGCUCCUCUGACGUUAGCGGCGGACGGGUGAGUAACACGUGGAUAACCUACCUAUAAGACUGAGAUAACUUCGGGAAACCGGAGCUAAUACCGGAUAAUAUAUUGAACCGCAUGGUUCAAUAGUGAAAGACGGUUUUGCUGUCACUUAUAGGUGGAUCCGCGCCGCAUUAGCUAGUUGGUAAGGUAACGGCUUACCAAGGCAACGAUGCGUAGCCGACCUGAGAGGGUGAUCGGCCACACUGGAACUGAGACACGGUCCAGACUCCUACGGGAGGCAGCAGUAGGGAAUCUUCCGCAAUGGGCGAAAGCCUGACGGAGCAACGCCGCGUGAGUGAUGAAGGUCUUCGGAUCGUAAAACUCUGUUAUUAGGGAAGAACAAAUGUGUAAGUAACUAUGCACGUCUUGACGGUACCUAAUCAGAAAGCCACGGCUAACUACGUG